rnacentral:rRNA from 1 species
AUAAGCACCGGCUAACUCCGUGCCAGCAGCCGCGGUAAUACGGAAGGUGCAAGCGUUAUCCGGAAUCACUGGGUUUAAAGGGUGCGUAGGCGGUUGCGUAAGUCAGAGGUGAAAGCCCACAGCUUAACUGUGGAAUUGCUUUUGAUACUGCGUAACUAGAAUCAGGUUGAGGUUGGCGGAAUGUGACAUGUAGCGGUGAAAUGCAUAGAUAUGUCAUAGAACACCGAUUGCGAAGGCAGCUGACUGGACCUGCAUUGACGCUGAGGCACGAAAGCGUGGGGAGCGAACAGGAUUAGAUACCCUGGUAGUCCACGCCCUAAACGAUGCUUACUCGAUGUGUGAAUUAUUGCGCAUCCAAGGGAAACCGUUAAGUAAGCCACCUGGGGAGUACGUUCGCAAGAAUGAAACUCAAAUGAAUUGACGGGG